AUUGAACGCUGGCGGCAGGCCUAACACAUGCAAGUCGAGCGAGCGGCGGACGGGUGAGUAAUGUCUGGGAAACUGCCUGAUGGAGGGGGAUAACUACUGGAAACGGUAGCUAAUACCGCAUACCAUCAGAUGUGCCCAGAUGGGAUUAGCUGGUAGGUGGGGUAACGGCUCACCUAGGCGCCGAUCCCUAGCUGGUCUGAGAGGAUGACCAGCCACACGGGAACUGAGCAACGGCCCAGCCUCCUCCGGGAGGCAGCAGUGGGGAAUAUUGCCAAAUGGGCGCAAGCCUGAUGCAGCCAUGCCGGGUGUGUGAAGAAGGCCUUCGGGUUGUAAAGCAUUUUCAGCGGGGAGGCGUUACCCGCAGAAGAAGCACCGGCUAACUCCGUGCCAGCAGCCGCGGUAAUUC
rnacentral:rRNA from 1 species